rnacentral:rRNA from 1 species
GCGGGUCCGCCCGCCGAUUGGACAAUUUAAACCAUUUGCAGUUGCAAUCAGCGUCUGAAAAAACUUAAUAGUUACAACUUUCAACAACGGAUCUCUUGGUUCUGGCAUCGAUGAAGAACGCAGCGAAAUGCGAUAAGUAGUGUGAAUUGCAGAAUUCAGUGAAUCAUCGAAUCUUUGAACGCACAUUGCGCCCCUUGGUAUUCCAUGGGGCAUGCCUGUUCGAGCGUCAUUUGUACCUUCAAGCUCUGCUUGGUGUUGGGUGUUUGUCUCGCCUCUGCGCGUAGACUCGCCUCAAAACAAUUGGCAGCCGGCGUAUUGAUUUCGGAGCGCAGUACAUCUCGCGCUUUGCACUCAUAACGACGACGUCCAAAAGUACAUUUUUACACUCUUGACCUCGGAUCAGGUAGG